UACAGAGGUCUCGAGCGUUGUUCGGAUUCAUUGGGCGUAAAGGGCGCGUAGGCGGUGCCACAAGUCACCUGUGAAAUUCCCGGGCUUAACUCGGGGCCUGCAGGCGAAACUGUGGUGCUGGAGUAUGGGAGAGGUGCGUGGAAUUCCCGGUGUAGCGGUGAAAUGCGUAGAGAUGCGGAGGAACACCGAUGGCGAAGGCAACCCCCUGGGCUGACACUGACGCUCAGGCACGAAAGCGUGGGGAGCAAACAGG
rnacentral:rRNA from 1 species